rnacentral:rRNA from 1 species
GAUGAACGCUGGCGGCGUGCCUAAUACAUGCAAGUCGAGCGAACAGACGAGGAGCUUGCUCCUCUGACGUUAGCGGCGGACGGGUGAGUAACGCGUGGAUACCCUCCCUGUAAGACUGGGAUAACUUCGGGAAACCGGAGCUAAUACCGGAUAACAUGUUGAACCGCAUGGUUCAACAGUGAAAGACGGUCUUGCUGGCACUUAUCGAUGGAUCCGCGCCGCAUUAGCUAGUUGUUAAGGUAACGGCUUACCACGGCAACGAUGCGUAGCCGACCUGCGAGGGUGAUCGGCCACACGGGAACUGAGCCACGGUCCAGACUCCUACGGGAGGCAGCAGUAGGGAAUCUGACGCAAUGGGCGAAAGCCUGACGGAGCAACGCCGCGUGAGUGAAGAAGGUCUUCGGAUCGUAAAACUCUGUUAUUAGGGAAGAACAAAUGUGGAAGUAACUAUGCACGUCUUGACGGUAACGAAUCAGAAAGCCACGGCUAACUACGUG